UGGGGAAUAUUGGGCAAUGGAGGGAACUCUGACCCAGCGACGCCGCGUGCGGGAUGAAGGCCUUCGGGUUGUAAACCGCUUUCAGCAAGGAAGAAGCGAAAGUGACGGUACUUGCAGAAGAAGCACCGGCUAACUAUGUGCCAGCAGCCGCGGUAAUACAUAGGGUGCAAGCGUUGUCCGGAAUUAUUGGGCGUAAAGAGCUCGUAGGUGGUUCGUCACGUCGGAUGUGAAAAUCUGGGGCUUAACCCCAGACCUGCAUUCGAUACGGGCGAGCUAGAGUGUGGUAGGGGAGACUGGAAUUCCUGGUGUAGCGGUGGAAUGCGCAGAUAUCAGGAGGAACACCAAUGGCGAAGGCAGGUCUCUGGGCCAUUACUGACACUGAGGAGCGAAAGCGUGGGGAGCGGACAGGAUUAGAUACCCUGGUAGUCCACGCCGUAAACGGUGGGCGCUAGUUGUGCGAACCUUCCACGGUUUGUGCGACGCAGCUAACGCAUUAAGCGCCCCGCCUGGGGAGUACGAUCGCAAGAUUA
rnacentral:rRNA from 1 species